rnacentral:rRNA from 1 species
CUUGCUCCCUGAAGUCAGCGGCGGACGGGUGAGUAACACGUGGGCAACCUGCCUGUAAGACUGGGAUAACUCCGGGAAACCGGGGCUAAUACCGGAUAAUUCUUUCCCUCACAUGAGGGAAAGCUGAAAGAUGGUUUCGGCUAUCACUUACAGAUGGGCCCGCGGCGCAUUAGCUAGUUGGUGAGGUAACGGCUCACCAAGGCAACGAUGCGUAGCCGACCUGAGAGGGUGAUCGGCCACACUGGGACUGAGACACGGCCCAGACUCCUACGGGAGGCAGCAGUAGGGAAUCUUCCGCAAUGGACGAAAGUCUGACGGAGCAACGCCGCGUGAGUGAUGAAGGUUUUCGGAUCGUAAAACUCUGUUGUUAGGGAAGAACAAGUACCGGAGUAACUGCCGGUACCUUGACGGUACCUAACCAGAAAGCCACGGCUAACUACGUGCCAGCAGCCGCGGUAAUACGUAGGUGGCAAGCGUUGUCCGGAAUUAUUGGGCGUAAAGCGCGCGCAGGCGGUUCCUUAAGUCUGAUGUGAAAGCCCCCGGCUCAACCGGGGAGGGUCAUUGGAAACUGGGGAACUUGAGUGCAGAAGAGAAGAGUGGAAUUCCACGUGUAGCGGUGAAAUGCGUAGAGAUGUGGAGGAACACCAGUGGCGAAGCGACUCUUUGGUCUGUAACUGACGCUGAGCGCGAAAGCGUGGGGAGCAACAGGAUUAGAUACCCUGGGUAGUCCACGCCGUAAACGAUGA